AACGCGAAGAACCUUACCUACCCUUGACAUGCUCGGAAUUUGCUAGAGAUAGUGAAGUGCCUUCGGGAACCGAGACACAGGUGCUGCAUGGCUGUCGUCAGCUCGUGUCGUGAGAUGUUGGGUUAAGUCCCGUAACGAGCGCAACCCUUGUCCUUAGUUGCCAACAGGUAAAGCUGGGAACUCUAGGGAGACUGCCGGUGAUAAGCCGGAGGAAGGUGGGGAUGACGUCAAGUCCUCAUGGCCCUUACGGGUAGGGCUACACACGUGUUACAAUGGGCAGUACAAAGGGAAGCGAAGCCGCGAGGUGUAGCAAAUCUUUUUAAAGCUGUUCGUAGUCCGGAUUGGAGUCUGCAACUCGACUCCAUGAAGUUGGAAUCGCUAGUAAUCGUGGAUCAGAACGCCACGGUGAAUACGUUCCCGGGCCUUGUA
rnacentral:rRNA from 1 species